UUUUCUCGUUUGUUGACAUUUUUGUUUUUAAUGGCGGCCUGCUGUCAUUUAAAAUGAAUAAAUAUAUUACUUUUAGAAAAGGGCCGACUGCUCGUGAAGAGAACGAUGGAAUUUAUAGAUUCGGCUGGGAAACUUGUCGAGAAAGCUUUUUUGCUUUUUUAGAUAAACUGACACGAGAGUUUGGUACCUUCUCAAACAGGCAUAAUUUCAAUCUAAUUAAUUUUAUCUGAGAUUUUUUAACCAGAUUUUUUUACUAACAGGGAGCCCUCACUUUUUGCCGUAGCAAAACUGUUGGCAACUGGUCUUGUAAAUCUGGACAGGGUAGAAGUUCUUUGGCGUCCUCUUACAAAUCACCUGCUGGAAGUCAUCAUCCACCCGUUUAACCACAUGAGAGAAUGGGGAAUAGGGGCCAUUACUACGUUAGUUAGAUAAGCAAUUCAAUAUGAAUAUUCUACCCCUUUAAAAGAAAACCAGGUAACUAUCCGAAACAGUUAGGCUAUUUGUGUUUAGGCAGUUGAAGAAUAGCGAACUCUAUCCGUUAUUAAUCAGACAGAGAUUGCAGAC